UUAUCCUACGGGGCGCAGCAGUGGGGAAUAUUGCACAAUGGGGGAAACCCUGAUGCAGCGACGCCGCGUGAGGGAAGACGGCCUUCGGGUUGUAAACCUCUGUCGCAGGGGACGAAGGAAGUGACGGUACCCUGUGAGGAAGCCACGGCUAACUACGUGCCAGCAGCCGCGGUAAUACGUAGGGUGCAAGCGUUAUCCGGAUUUAUUGGGCGUAAAGGGCUCGUAGGCGGUUCGUCGCGUCCGGUGUGAAAGUCCAUCGCUUAACGGUGGAUCCGCGCCGGGUACGGGCGGGCUUGAGUGCGGUA
rnacentral:rRNA from 1 species